rnacentral:rRNA from 1 species
GACGAACGCUGGCGGCGUGCUUAACACAUGCAAGUCGAACGCUGAAGCUCAGCUUUUGUUGGGUGGAUGAGUGGCGAACGGGUGAGUAACACGUGAGUAACCUGCCCCCUUCUUUGGGAUAACGCCCGGAAACGGGUGCUAAUACUGGAUAUUCACUGGUCUUCGCAUGGGGGUUGGUGGAAAGGGUUUUUCUGGUGGGGGAUGGGCUCGCGGCCUAUCAGCUUGUUGGUGGGGUGAUGGCCUACCAGGGCUUUGACGGGUAGCCGGCCUGAGAGGGUGACCGGUAACAUUGGGACUGAGAUACGGCCCAGACUCCUACGGGAGGCAGCAGUGGGGAAUAUUGCACAAUGGGCGCAAGCCUGAUGCAGCGACGCCGCGUGAGGGAUGGAGGCCUUCGGGUUGUGAACCUCUUUCGCUCAUGGUCAAGCCGCAACAAUGGUUGUGGUGAGGGUAGUGGGUAAAGAAGCGCCGGCUAACUACGUG